CUAAGCUGCCGUCACCUGAGCUUGAAGUUGGAUUAUUCCUCCUGAGAAUCUCAUUUUGGAGAAUCAUCGUAGUGAUCUGGUCCAUCUUGAUGGUGCUCUUCCCCAUUAAAAGAGCAGUCACCAAGGACUCAUACAAAAGGAGAAGCGACGCUAACAAGACCAGCGUCCUAGUCUUUUCCUUAACUUUCUCGCCAAUGCUGAGG
rnacentral:lncRNA from 1 species